rnacentral:rRNA from 1 species
GAGCAAGAAAAUCGGAAGGAAAGAAAGCCAACGAAAAAAAAUCGUCUUGGAACGAGGCCUCCAGGUGCCCUCGAGCUCGCACUCGCAUCAGGAGUGAUGCUACUUCCAGGCCACCACGCCACACCACCAGAUCCCUUCGCCGCCGCCUCGCACUCGCAUCCCAUCGCCGCCGCCCGUGCAUUCUCGAUCGGAGAGGACGCCCCCUUCGCCGCCGCUGAGAUCCGAGAAGAGUCGCCCUUCGCCGCCGCCUCCCUUGCAAGGACGCCCCGCCAUGGGUCUCUAUCGGUGCCACGACUGCCGCGGCCUCCCCACCUGCCGACGCUCUAGAUCCGGCCGUAGUUGACUCCCUGUACAUCAUCUCAAGGGGGAGGGGCGUGAGGCGGUUGCCGCCGUCGGUGGCUGCACUUGAAGGUCUCCGCCGCUUGCUCCAACCAGAUCCAGCCAGACCGUCCAGUGGUGGUCCACGUGCAUCUGGACGGACGCAACGGCUUUGCCUCCCCUGUCCCAUGUCUUCGUCCACCACACCAUCCGAUUGCGGUAAUAAAUCUAUAGCCAUGCCCUUUUCCUUGAGAUGAACUACAAAAUUUCUGUUCUGUUAUAUCUUGGUGAAUGUCUCGCCAAUUGCCAUACAAAUACAUGUGUGCUUCUCCUGUCGUGCAUUUGCUGGGUAAGCUGCUGCUACCCGGGCUCACAUGACCCCGUGGAGGAAGGAGCUGCGCAAGGAAUCACUGCCAAAAGACUCAAGACGAGUUUGGAGUGUCCUGGAUUCCAGGCCAUGUUCCGCAAGGAAGAAGCAACGAUAGCUAGCCGAGGGUUCAGAUUGACGUUCGCUUUGAUUCUCGUUGAUUCAUUAUUUUGACCGACCCAAGCAGCGCCGGCGCUCACGGAGGAGAACCUGAUGUUCCUAGAGGCCUGACGCGCGGUCGGUCACACUUACUACGACAAGUCCUCCAACGGGUGGAGCUGGUUCAGCUUUGGAUCAGGACUAACCUCUAGCCAGGAAAGAACCUGAAUCCCAAGUUUUAUUCCCAGUCGACGGCAGUGGCGGUGCCCACGUCCGCGUCAUCGGUGCUGGUAAGGGGCGCCUCACCCUGUUCGGCAUUAUCUUUUGUUCUUCCUACGGCUGCAAGAACCCUCACCUUGGCUAUGGCAGAUGCGACAGAUAAAGCAGACGGUCAUCUUCUCUCCUUUCUCUUUUACCAUUAGAGAAUUUUAGCCAAGCCUGCUGAGUAACACAAAGCUAUUAUAUGCGUUCAAUGGAAUGUCUGCAAUGCCAACAAUAUUCUGAGUAAAAAUGAACAAGGGUAACAUGCAUUGGAUGGCUCAAUUGUUUGUUGAACUAGGUUCGGUUUAGCUUGCUCUCACCAAUACAAAUUUUCCCACAGCUCAUGCGUUCAAAGAUGGUGAUUUCAAGAAUCUGUCAAGUUCAACAAAUCAUGCUUCUGUUUAUAGAAACUUAAAUAACAACAUACAUGUAAUUUGUUUGCUUAAUCACUUUAUUGUUCGUUACUCUCGAUCACCACCGGAGAAGGCGAUACUCAAAUUUGUGGCUGGGUGCAUCUGCGGAAGUACUUGCUGAUCUUCCCAUGUCAGGUUGUCCUUUUCCCCUCUUAGAUGUUGUAGGGUGUGUUUGCUUCCUGUCACCAACCGGAAUGUCAUGGGUUGGACCCGCUCCUGGGCCUCGUUCCAGCGUUUAGUUCGUAACUAAGAUGGAACCCACUCGUUUCCUGCGGCCGAAUAUUCGGCAGAGAUCCGGAACCGAGUGAUACCUCCGAAUCGAAGGAAUUACAAGGAACCGCUCGUUCUCUCCCUUUCCUCUCCCGUAACCCGGCCAUAUCCCCUCCCUCUGUUGAAUUGUACCGUUGUAUGUAUUGUAUACGCAUUGUAUGAGAUGUGAUGGUUGUUGUACCUAGGCCUAGUCUUCCGCCAUGACCACGCCAUCCACUCCCUGCAUGUAGGGAGUUAGGCUACGUGCCGCUGUGUAUAUGUAACAGACUGCUCAAUGGAAUAGAUCACAGACUCAUUCCGCCAUUCUUCUUGGUAAUCAGAGCGCAGGUCUCUCCCAUCCUAUGUCGACCAGCCCUCCCUCCUCUCCCGUCGACGACGGCCUCGGCCACACCCCCUCUGCCGAUGACCUCGCUGCGGCAGCUGCCGCCUCUGAGCGCCCACGCGCCUCGCUAACCCCGGAUCUCUCCAACUCCGGCGGCCUGCCUCUCGCCACGUCCU